AUUGUCAGAAUUAAUAGAAUUGAACAAUGAGUUAAAUAUUGAAUUAAAGCUAUUUUUGCACUAUAUAAUGUAAAAUAAAUGUAAAAACACCAACUACCGCAGUGUUAAUGGAAAUUAUUUAGUUUUUUAAAGUGAAAAAUACAUACUUUAAAUAGUUGAAAUUUUCAACGUUCAAUGCAAAUAUCUCUAAAGCCGACCCUUAUUAUUAUUGAACUAUUGAAAAGACCCGUUUGUAUAUUGAAUAUGUAUGUGGCAUAAAAUUUCACGAAAUUUAGUAGUCACUUAAAAGCGGCUACGAAAUUGUGAGCAGGGACAAUGCUGACAGGGAUUGAGUCUGCUCGAGUGUGUGGCAGUUUGCAUGCGAAAUUACCCACCAUUCAUUGCAACGAAAAAUCGCUGUUGCUACUCACCUUUUGUACAAAUCACCUGGCGGCGAUUGUGCUCAUCCACGUUGCACGCGCACUCCGUCGGACAGUUUUGGCCGGUGCCUGUCAGCACGGGCAUUGCCAGUAGGCAAAUCACAAACCACUGCAGCAGCAUCUGGAAUCAAAGAAGAAAAAAGAGACGUUGGAUGAGAGAUGGCGUUUUUCAGGAAUUAUUUUAAAACAGAUUCAAAGUGUGAGUCCUCUAAAUUUCAAAGUUCUAUUUGGCUUGGGAUUUAUGUCAAUAAAAGCUACUUAUACGUCUCUGAGACGUUGCGCAGUGGGGCUAUACGAGUAUAAGAAUGCAUCAUUUAACCUUUGCUACAGGAGAGAAGAUAACUUAAAAUAUUCAAAUGAGAAUCCUUUUGUAAACAAUAUCUGAUCUGGAAAUGUUACAAUCAAUGGUUAAAAUGUUAAAAUAUGUUUCUUAGACAAAAAUUAAUUAAUAAUUGCUUAAUCUUUCCAAAUCACUUAAGAAUUCAAUCGACUAUUUAUAAUAUAUUUUCCACAGAAAACAUCGAAUGUUUUAUACCCAUUUUUUACUUAUCAAAACUUUAAAGCGUUUUUGCAGCAACAUGUUUUCAAAGUCGG